UAAAGCCUGAGGUGAAGACCAGAAUAUCACCGGUUGCUUGUUCUACUGCUUCUUCUUCGCUGAGACCCACUACAGCUAG
rnacentral:sRNA from 1 species